CGAGGUGGAGCGCAGUCUGGUCAGUGCAUCUAUUUUGGGUAUAGAGGUCCAUAGGUUCGAAUCCUGUCACCUUGA
rfam:Nicotiana sylvestris Nsyl_contig116273, whole genome shotgun sequence.